rnacentral:rRNA from 1 species
UGAGUGAUGACGGCCUUCGGGUUGUAAAGCUCUGUUAAUCGGGACGAAUGGUUCUUGUGCGAAUAGUGCGAGGAUUUGACGGUACCGGAAUAGAAAGCCACGGCUAACUACGUGCCAGCAGCCGCGGUAAUACGUAGGUGGCAAGCGUUGUCCGGAAUUAUUGGGCGUAAAGCGCGCGCAGGCGGAUUGGUCAGUCUGUCUUAAAAGUUCGGGGCUUAACCCCGUGAUGGGAUGGAAACUGCCAAUCUAGAGUAUCGGAGAGGAAAGUGGAAUUCCUAGU